UACGAAGGGGGCUAGCGUUGUUCGGAAUCACUGGGCGUAAAGCGCACGUAGGCGGAUCUUUAAGUCAGGGGUGAAAUCCCGAGGCUCAACCUCGGAACUGCCUUUGAUACUGGGGAUCUCGAGUCCGGGAGAGGUGAGUGGAACUGCGAGUGUAGAGGUGAAAUUCGUAGAUAUUCGCAAGAACACCAGUGGCGAAGGCGGCUCACUGGCCCAUAACUGACGCUGAGGCACGAAAGCGUGGGGAGCAAACAGG
rnacentral:rRNA from 1 species